GGUUCAGGAUGAACGCUAGCGACAGGCUUAACACAUGCAAGUCGAGGGGCAGCAUAAAAGUAGCAAUACUUGGUGGCGACCGGCGCACGGGUGAGUAACGCGUAUGCAACCUACCUAUCAGAGGGGAAUAACCCGGCGAAAGUCGGACUAAUACCGCAUAAAACAGGGGCACCGCAUGGUGAUAUUUGUUAAAGAAAUUCGCUGAUAGAUGGGCAUGCGUUCCAUUAGGUAGUUGGUGAGGUAACGGCUCACCAAGCCGACGAUGGAUAGGGGAACUGAGAGGUUGGUCCCCCACACUGGUACUGAGACACGGACCAGACUCCUACGGGAGGCAGCAGUGAGGAAUAUUGGUCAAUGGGCGGGAGCCUGAACCAGCCAAGUCGCGUGAAGGAAGAAGGAUCUAUGGUUCGUAAACUUCUUUUGCAGGGGAAUAAAGUGCAGGACGUGUCCUGUUUUGUAUGUACCCUGAGAAUAAGGAUCGGCUAACUCCGUGCCAGCCGCGGC
rnacentral:rRNA from 1 species